rnacentral:rRNA from 1 species
GUUUCAAUUGCUAACCUCCAGCUCCCGUGUACCAGGGAAAAGGGGAUCCAUGGAGAUGAGGAACUAAGGUGGAGAUGCGGCAAGGCGGAGAAGGAGUGCGGAGGAAGGGCGGCUUCGGGCUCGUGGCGGACCGGAUCCAGCGAGGGGGAGGCCGGAUCCGUCGGCUAGCGACGCGAGGAGCUCACGGCGGAGCUCGAGCGCCAUGGGAGUUAAGUAGGAAAAGGAGAGAGCGGCGGUGUCGCGGGUACAUGCGCACACUCGCGGACGCAGGCAAACGGCUCCGGCAGGAGACGUGGCGCACGACAGCGACAACGGCUCUCCUCAGGAGGACCUUGGGCAUUGAGAGGUUGAGCUGUGCGCUGCACCAAGGACAGAGCCCACUGACUGCUCGUCAUGGGCCACCGCCACCACGCCUUCGACGGGAUCGGACCUCCACCACUCCAGCAAGCAGGAGCAUCGUGGUGGUUGCGGUCAAUUGAAAUCUUAGUUUCUUCAUCUUCUUUGAGAUUAUGUUUUGUCUGCAUCUGAUAAUUAGGAUGGCCUCCUUUCUUUCAGGUUUGUACUGUUAAUUAAGAUGAACUUGGGUGUCGAGGAUGAUUUGGAAGAUUAUAUAUCCUGACCAGAUAAAAUCAGUGCUGCCGAUCUGAGUUGAUUUUCUUUUGAUAAAGGGAGCUUUAAUAUGUUAGUUGAUUUGGAAGAUUAUUUCUCUAGACCAGAUAAAAUCAAUGCUGCUGAUUUGAGUUGAUUCGGAAGAUUAUGUCUUCAGACCAGAUAAAAUCAGUGUUGCUGAUGUGAGUGCCUUUCCAUUAUGCUGAACAUUCUUUAUCAUUUGUUCUACUUAAGCAGAAGAAAUUUCAUUGCGUCAACUUAAUUAGAAAAUGAUAAUGAUUCUUUAAAUCCUUUACUCUUAAAAGUUUAUCAUAGUAAAUGUACCUUCAGCUCACCAUACAUUUGUUUCAUAUAUAUUGACAACUAUAAUAGCAGUAGCAAUGCGUGAUUAUGACAUAUGAAAAAGAUUGUUUUACUGUCAAUUUUCAGUAUAUUGUUAGUGACUAAUUAUUUCCUAAUUUUGUUUAGUUUUGUUGGAGAGAAUAUGUAAGGCUAAUGUUUGAGCAGGAGAGUGACAAGAUGCAAGAGUGAUACAUCCAAGCACUUGAUUUGAGUCAAACUUGGUUUGCUGUACAGAAUUCCACCGUAUUUGUCCACACAAAUAGUUCUUCAUAUUUAGUCAAAAUUGUUUUUCUCCAUAGUUCAGUGUCUACAUCUUUAUUCUCCGAAUAUAGUCAUACUCUCCAUUUUAUAAAGUGCAAAUGUACUUCGGCCAAUUGAUUUUAGUAGUCCUCCUGUUUGUACAGUAUGGAUGAAAUUUGACCUACCAGUAUACCUAUAAAGAUAUUAAGAUUGGAUACUUAAAAAUCCUAUACGAACUUUUGUCUUCAACAUGAUUUCACAAUAUAUAGUUUUAUGACAUUUCGGUAAAUAUAUUCAAGUAAAAUAUUGGUGGUUAAAGCCGGAUUAUGGAGAUCUUACCAAAACAAACAACUACUAGGAACUAGAUCAAUGUGUAUUUGCAAGUCAAGCUCAGCUUAUAGUGAUUGUGAAGUGAGAUUGAAUGCAUUUUGGCGAUGAAAUCACGUAGGAUCAAAGCGGAGGUGCCUACUUUCUACCAAGAAAUUGCAUCUUCAUCAAAUGUUUAUGUCUUCCUUUCUUCCUUGACAAUAUGAAUCUGAAUACUACUUUCUUUUCCUGGAUGUAGUUUCCACUAUAGUAUAUAGCUACCUUCCAUGUCUUUUGUGAACCCAGUUUGUAGUGUGCCACUCUGAAGCUGAAUUCUUCUUGUGUACCCAGUUUGUAGUGUGCCACUCUGAAGCUGAAUUCUUCCUGGGUGUAUCAUGCACCUGUGUCUUCUUGUUGUAUAUUCUCAAGUCUCAACUGCAGAUUCUCAAAGGCUUUGGACACCACUUGGACCUACAACAAAGAUUUGGACUAUUUAAUUUAGUGACAUUGAUCAUAGCCGCCUGCUGGUUUUCUUCACUCCCCAGCUCUAGAUUUUGGCGUACACGGUACACCGUGACAAUUCUAUCUUGGUUCUAGACAAAUAGGUUGCAUGUUCUUCUAUUAUCAUGAGUAUCAUGUUCCCACUUGCAGCUCGGUUAUUAAGUUAAAGCUAAAGUCCUGAUUGUACUGUCUAGAGGUGGAAUGGCUAAGCUCUCUUUAUGAUCCUUUCUGCCGAAUAUCUUGCAAAUGCCACACUAAAGUGCAGGAAAUUAUUAGGUGUGUGGGUAUCAGUCCACUAUGUUCUUAUGUCGAUGGAUCCGGGAAAUGUUGACACUUUUUGGUUUUGGUCACAAAAAUGUUUGUAUAGGAUAUCAUCUUGAAUAUAUGUAUUUCUAAAGUAAUACUACUUCCUAGUUAGUUAAUUGAAGUAUUGAUACAAUCAAUUGGAUGUUUUUCUAUAGUUAUGGAUCUAGCGGAAAAAUUGUUGUUUUCACAUCAUUGUUUUUCUCCAUAGUUCAUUGUCAGAAUCUUUAUUCUCCUAAUACAUUCAUAUUGUCC